UAAGUACUACCACAACACUAUGGUAGUCAUGGUUACUAUAAGUACUACCACAAUACUAUGGUAGUCAUGGUUACUAUAAGUACUACCACAAUACUAUGGUAGUCAUGGUUACUAUAAGUACUACCACAACACUAUGGUGGUCAUGGUUAAUAUAAGUACUACCACAAUAGGAGGAUGGGCUGUGUCAUGGACGCAUCAAAUAACAUUAUCAGUUUUUGUUUGUAUAAAAGAAUUAUUAAUUUGCAUUUAUGCAAAUUACCAGGUGAAGAAUUUAAUUUUGAAUUGUUAUAAAAAUCCUGCAAGCUGAAUAUGUUGUGAUAGGUAUAGGUAUAUUCACACACAGUUUUGAUUACAAAAAAUUGAAAUAUGGGCAACUAUACAAGUUUAAAACACAGAUAAUUUUUCUCUAUUUAGUAUAUGUAUCAUAUUUUGAGAUGUAUAUACUCUCAGGUGUUAGGUAGUCAUGCUCCAGCAGCAGCUAUAUGUACUGUGAGGUGUUAGGUAGUCAUGCUCCAGCAGCAGCAGCAGCAGCAGCUAUAUAUACUGUGAGGUGUUAGGUAGUCAUGCUCCAGCAGCAGCAGCAGCAGCAGCUAUAUAUACUGUGAGGUGUUAGGUAGUCAUGCUCCAGCAGCAGCAGCAGCUAUAUAUACUGUGAGGUGUUAGGUAGUCAUGCUCCAGCAGCAGCAGCUAUAUGUACUGUGAGGUGUUAGGUAGUCAUGCUCCAGCAGCAGCAGCUAUAUGUACUGUGAGGUGUUAGGUAGUCAUGCUCCAGCAGCAGCAGCAGCUAUAUAUACUGUGAGGUGUUAGGUAGUCAUGCUCCAGCAGCAGCAGCAGCUAUAUAUACUGUGAGGUGUUAGGUAGUCAUGCUCCAGCAGCAGCAACAGCAGCUAUAUAUACUGUGAGGUGUUAGGUAGUCAUGCUCCAGCAGCAGCAGCAGCAGCUAUAUAUACUGUGAGGUGUUAGUCAUGCUCCAGCAGCAGCAACAGCAGUUGUAUACACUGUGAGGUGUAAGGUAGUCAUGCUCCAGCAGCAGCUGUUAAAGCUAAACAAUAGAUUAUUCAGCAAGUGUGAAAAGUAAACAAUGGACUAGCAUGUGUUAGAAGGUAAACAAAUACUUGAUAGGUGUAAAAAAAAACAUGGAUUGGCAGGUGUAAAAGAGUAAACAAUUGAUUGAUUUGAGUAAGAGAGUAAACAAUUGAAUGACAGGUAUGAAAAAGUAAAUAAUGAAUUGACAUGUAAAAAUGUAAACAAUAGAUUAACAAAUGUAAACAAAAACAAUAGAAUAACAGUUGUAAAAAAGUAUGCAAUAUAUUUACAAACUAAUGUACAGUACUGAGCUCUACUGAUACUAAAGAGUGUAAAUAGGUUGUGAAUCACUUAACAUUCAAUGUGUGUGUCUCUGUAAAAACUUUUUUAUCAGAAGGAUAAAGGGGUUUUAGUUUUCUUAUAAUACGUAUUGAUGUGUGCCAAAACACACUAUUGUGUAUGAUCAUGGCACCUUAGAACUACAGGAGCUGUAUUGUUGUAGUUUUCACUGUAGCUAUAAAAAUUUAUUGGUUGAUAAUUAUUUGUGAUUUUAUGUUUUUUAUUUUAAAUUGUAUUGAUAUCAGUGAGGAAAUAAUUGGGCGAUAUAAUGGGAUUGAACACACUUCCCUGGACUCUCCAGUGACACACACCACUGAGUGGAGGAGUUCAGGGAUGUGAAUUCAAUCCCAUCUUACAGCCUUGACACUUUGCCUGGCCCGGAGCGCGACCCCUCCCAGCACACCCCAAGGUUGGCUGAGCGUUUCCCAUGAGUGCACACCCGCACUAAAAUGUUUAUACUCAUCAGUUUUCCGACCUCAAUUUUCGUGCUACGUCGUUUAUUUUGGUAUCAAAUUGUUUGCAAAAGAAUUAUCUAAAGGGAUAUAUGCAUAUAAGGUCAAAAGGCCCGGCGUGCCACUCGCAUCAAACCCGAAAAUCGGCCGAGCGGUACUGGAGAGCCAGCACCCUUCUGCACACCCCCAACGCCCACACUCAAAUAUUUAUACAGUACGCUUUUUCAUUUUCUCACAUAAAUUUUUGUUACGUCGCUCAUUUUGGUAUCAAUUUGUUGCAAUAGAAAGCUCUAAAGGGAUAUAUGCAUAUAAAUGGGAGAACAUUACCAAUACCAUAAGAAUAAAGUACAUUGUCAUGUGAAAAAAACGGCUUUUUCAUCAGUAUUUAUACUCAUUAUUAGUUCCCCCAGAUUAUUUGUUACACUAUUUCAUUCAUUUGUUCUGCUUCCUUCACUUAAGUGUUUGUACCACAAUAUCAUUCCUGAAGUUUCUCAACCCAUGUUUUAUAGAUGGAGUGGAUAGUGUGUAAGCAUUACUGCUUAUCCACCCAGUAUGUCUUCUUGCAAUGGUACAAGCCGGAGCAUGGUGCAGCACACAGUGCCACACCACACGACUGGCACUUAUACCUGCUGUUCUUCCUUUUACCAGACUUGUAGCAGACACCACACUUCAGAACUUUUUUGAUGCGUACUAGGAAAUGGUUUAAGUUUCUGUUCCGACGAUCGGGUUUAUCCACGAUACGAGGUCUUCUAGCAGCAUCACCACUAUGAGUUGUCUGAACCUCGUCUUCUGAGUCAGAUGAUGAAUCUUCAUUUCAAGGUGAAGAAGGGAAGAGUGGCCGCCUCACACCUGAUGGUCCGGGGGCUGCAACAUUGUCACCAGUAGCUCUGCUCUCAUUGUCAUUUAUAUAACCGGCAUGUAUGAUGAUGUCAUUUUGGAGAGGCCAAUUCUUAUACUCAAAGUUCAACAGUGACCAAAUUAUUUCUUUGUGAAACUGGAGCAAUAAGUUUUCUUCAGACGUGUUUCUUUUCCUGCUUUCGUCAUAGAUUGACUCUGUUCUUGAUCACUAUCCAUCUUGGAGUAAAUGUAGUGUGUUUGUACUAACAAAUAUAGCUGAGGAAAAAUAACCGGAAUGGGCACACGUUUUUACACGAAGGGAGGCUGCAUCGGUCACGAGUGUGAACACUAACAAUGGGCCUACCGUGCGGGUGACGUGAUGCUACAUGGGGCAUCACAGAAAAUGGGAAGACGUUGGUGCACUUCUUAAAACAAGUCCCAUAAUGAAUGGAUUUUUAACAAAUAUUUUAAUUUUGGACACAGCGUGCGUCCUCACAUACACAGUAUAUUCAUAUACGGAAGCAUUAUGCAUUAUUGGUCAGGCAAAGUGUUAAUAUUCUCUUAUAAAUACAUCAUAUUCUUGGGAUGAUGUGUUUUAACUACAUCUUUAUGGUAUGUAUAGUUAUUCUAACAUGUAGUUUAAUUCAUUGCUCUGCAUACAUAUUCAGGUAGUGUUUGGGUGGUCAUGUGGCCCUGUAGGCACAACAACACUGGUACAAGUGCACAACUUUACAUUAAUAAUCCGUCCAAGUAUACCCCUGUACAACUUAUGGUA
rnacentral:lncRNA from 1 species